rnacentral:sRNA from 2 species
UUAAACUUCAUUGGGGAGUAGCCGCUCUUUACGCAAAGUAAAGAGGUGAUGAUCAACAUAAUUGUUCAACCGAACAUGGUCAUCAUAGCAAAGAACCAAAGCAGCUCACGCUGUGCUUUUGUUGGCAAGACCUUUGAU